CCGUGCUAGGUGGGGAGGUAGCGGUGCCCUGUAACUCGCAAUCCGCUAUAGCGAGGCUGAAUUCCCAACUGAGGUGGAGUAGUUUUAAGGUCUGCCUUAAGGGAUUGGUGUUGACACUCGGGUCCUGCGCAACGGGAACCCGUGAACCCUGUCAGGUCCGGAAGGAAGCAGCAGUAAGCGGUGCUUCUCGUGUGCCGCGGGGAAGCCUGGGUCGAGCCAUGAACUUAAGUAACGCUUAGGACUAUUUCAACGAAGUUGGGUGCACGG
rnacentral:SRP_RNA from 1 species